rnacentral:rRNA from 1 species
GACGAACGCUGGCGGCGUGCUUAACACAUGCAAGUCGAACGGAAAGGCCCCUUUGGGGGUCCUCGAGUGGCGAACGGGUGAGUAACACGUGAGUAACCUGCCCUUGACUUCGGGAUAACUUCAGGAAACUGGGGCUAAUACCGGAUAGGAAUCCUUGCUGCAUGGUGGGGGUUGGAAAGCUUCGGCGGUUUUGGAUGGACUCGCGGCUUAUCAGCUUGUUGGUGGGGUAGUGGCUUACCAAGGCUUUGACGGGUAGCCGGCCUGAGAGGGCGACCGGCCACAGUGGGACUGAGAUACGGCCCAGACGCCGACGGGAGGCAGCAGUGGGGAAUAUUGCACAAUGGGCGGAAGCCGGAUGCAGCAACGCCGCGUGCGGGAUGACGGCCUUCGGGUUGUAAACCGCUUUCAGCAGGGGCGAAGCUUGUGGUGACGGUACCUGCAGAAGAAGCACCGGCUAACUACGUG